AACGAACGCUGGCGGCGUGCUUAACACAUGCAAGUCGAACGCGAAAGGGACUUCGGUCCUGAGUAGAGUGGCGCACGGGUGAGUAACGCGUAAGUUAUCUACCCCUCCAUCUGGAAUAACUCACCGAAAGGUGUGCUAAUACCGGAUACGUUGGAAACAAGAAAGGUGGCCUCUAUUUAUAUGCUACCGUGGAGGGAUGAGCUUGCGUACCAUUAGCUAGUUGGUAGGGUAAUGGCCUACCAAGGCAACGAUGGUUAGCGGGUCUGAGAGGAUGAUCCGCCACACUGGAACUGGAACACGGACCAGACUCCUACGGGAGGCAGCAGUGAGGAAUAUUGCGCAAUGGGGGAAACCCUGACGCAGCGACGCCGCGUGGAUGAUGAAGGCCUUCGGUCGUAAA
rnacentral:rRNA from 1 species